UGCGAUAAGCGCCGGUAAGGUGAUAUGAACCGUUAUAACCGGCGAUACCCGAAUGGGGAAACCCAGUGUGACUCGUCACACUAUCAUUAACUGAAUCCAUAGGUUAAUGAGGCGAACCGGGGGAACUGAAACAUCUAAGUACCCCGAGGAAAAGAAAUCAACCGAGAUUCCCCCAGUAGCGGCGAGCGAACGGGGAGGAGCCCAGAGCCUGAAUCAGCAUGUGUGUUAGUGGAAGCGUCUGGAAAGGCGCGCGAUACAGGGUGACAGCCCCGUACACAAAAGCGCAUGUGCUGUGAGCUCGAUGAGUAGGGCGGGACACGUGGUAUCCUGUCUGAAUAUGGGGGGACCAUCCUCCAAGGCUAAAUACUCCUGACUGACCGAUAGUGAACCAGUACCGUGAGGGAAAGGCGAAAAGAACCCCGGCGAGGGGAGUGAAAAAGAACCUGAAACCGUGUACGUAC
rnacentral:rRNA from 1 species